rnacentral:rRNA from 1 species
GAGUUUGAUCGUGGCUCAGAUUGAACGCUGGCGGCAUGCCUUACACAUGCAAGUCGAACGGCAGCACGGGAGCUUGCUCCUGGUGGCGAGUGGCGAACGGGUGAGUAAUGCAUCGGAACGUAUCCUGGAGUGGGGGAUAACGUAGCGAAAGUUACGCUAAUACCGCAUAUUCUGUGAGCAGGAAAGCGGGGGACCUUCGGGCCUCGCGCUCUUGGAGCGGCCGAUGUCGGAUUAGCUAGUUGGUGAGGUAAAGGCUCACCAAGGCGACGAUCCGUAGCAGGUCUGAGAGGAUGAUCUGCCACACUGGAACUGAGACACGGUCCAGACUCCUACGGGAGGCAGCAGUGGGAUUUUGGACAAUGGGGCAACCCUGAUCCAGCCAUGCCGCGUGAGUGAAGAAGGCCUCGGUUGUAAG